CCGAGAUUGACGCAGAGACGGAGAAAGACACAAGAGGCGCGGAGACGCCGCGGUUAGAGACCUGGCGUCCCCGAGGGAGGCGACCAGGAAAACUGGACAGAGAUUAGGUAACUUGCCCAAGGAUAUACAAGUAGUUAAGCUCCAGUCACCUGCGGUGUGGCCUCAGGCUGUCACUUUCCCUCUCUGCGUUAGGACAGUAGUUAAGAUGGAAGAGCAGGAAGCCUGGCACCUGUGAGCCACUGGAAGAUGCUUCUGCCCUCAAAGACCUGAGUGACUGGAAGACGCUUCUGCCCUCAAAACCAUGCUCUGGACCUCGGCAGACUUGCUCUGGGAGGGAGCGGGGGCCUCAGGGUGUAGAAAGAAACGCUGCAGCCCAGGGGUGCUGAACAUCUGCGGUGAAGGCUCCAUUCUGCUUACUGGGUGGUCCGCCCCCGAGGCCCUGGACUCUGAACACAGUCCCCUGGCCCACGACCUUACUGUCGCCAGCUGUGCCCCCCUGACUCCCCUCCCCCAGGCCCCCCGCCGUGGCUGGAGAAGCAAGAAAAUUAUACCGACCACGUGCAUGAAGUUGCUCUAAGUGCCGGUUCCUUGCACGGUCGGUCGACAGGUCGGUCGGUCUCUCUCCUGAUGCCCAAGAUGGAUUCUUUCCCUUCUUUUCCAGGAUGAUGCCCUUGCGUCUCAUCCUGCAAGAAGUGCCUUUGCCAUGUUGGAACAUGGAAUCCAGGGACAAAUCGGACUGAGGCUCAGAUCCCUUGAUACCAGUCAGAUUUUCCUCCAACUCUAGGUGAUCACCCUUUUGGUUUAAAUGUUUCGUUAGUUUGUUGUUUGUUUUCCAAUGAAAUCUUUAAAACACACAAAUGACAUAAAGGAUUAUACAGGAACCAGCUAUGUACUCUCUACUCAAAUUUAAGAAAUAAAAAAAUUUGAUCAAUC